GGUGCUAUAGUUUAUAUAAAACUUUAAGUUGCAGCCUUAAAAAAGGGAUAAUAUCUUUAGUGCCU
rnacentral:tRNA from 1 species